GUAGACAGGAAGUAGGUCUCUUUCGCUGAGGAUCUCCAGGCAGAUGCUGGUGGUCACGAAGGUUUAGACAGAGAGGCCUACCCCUACGUGGAAGCAUGGGGCCACUGUGCAGAGAUCAGAUACGGCAAAGCACCAGUUCUAAAACCAGCGUCUCCCUUCCGCAGCCCCUCAUCUCUCAGGACCCUCUCCAGCUGCUUGGGAGGCUGUCUUGUCAUCUUGACUAGAGCACCUGACCUCCCUCUCACAAGGCCCCUGCUUUUCUCUUGAUGAGCUGCUGGAGGAGAACAGACAGACUGAAGAUAGGCACAUGGAGAACACUGUAUUUCAAAGGCAGAAACCAUCAUGGUGCAGUCCUCUGGGCUUAAUGUAUGAACAGUUGUAUGCCACAAUUCAUAUCAAUAUAUCCCGAGUUCAGUUCCCAGUACCCAUGCUGGGCAGCUCACAGCUGCCUGGAGUUCCAGCGCCCAGGAAUCCCACACCCUCUUGUGGCCUCCAUGGGCACCCAUAUACAUGUGGUAUACACACGGGAACAUGUAAGUGAAUAAAUAAAAGAAAACCAACUACUGAGGAUGAAGUGUUCUGGGUUAUUUGUUUCUUCUCUGUAUUCCUUUGUUGUGUCCGAGGUACCUUCACUCUUCAUGAAUCCCCUCGAGGAUGUGUCUGCGCUCCUUGUCCCACAGUCUCUCAGAUGCAUCUUUCUUUUCCUUGCUCAGCCUCUCACUGGAAACAGACUACAGCACAUCACUUCAUCUGUCUUGGGUUUUCCUUUGCUUGUCUAUCUGUCUGUCUCAGGCUUUCCUUUGUCUGUCUUACAAGAGAAGCGGAUGUUUCCUUCCUUCUUCUCUUCACCAUCACAGUCUAUGGCUAGAGACUCAGUUCUAACUACCUAAGUCAUCUUUUUAUGAAUGGUUAUUCUUUUUUUUAAUAAACAUGGAGUUUAUUUUAUUUUUUAAAGAUUUAUUUAUUA